rnacentral:lncRNA from 1 species
CGUUAAUAUUGAUUCACUUAUAGGGUCUUUACAUCGGAACUAAACACACUUAUUAUUAAUAAACCAGUUGUUGGCAUGACACGGGUUAUGUUCUUCUCAUAUAUGUUAUGAUGGUAUGAUACUAAACCCCUCACGGGGAGGAUUGUGCCUGAUAUUCAUAUGAUGAAGACAUAAUUUGUCAAUCAGUUUAAUUGAAGUCUGGAGCUGGCAUGUCAGUAAACUGCUAGUAGUCUGAUGUUAUUUAUGUAUUAUUGUCAUUUUGUUUAUUUUCUUUGGUUACAUCUUCUGACAUCAGACUCGGACUUCUCUUGAACUGAAUUUUAAUGUGCGUAUUGUUAUGCGUUUACUUUUCUGCAUUGGCUAGAGGUAUAGGGGAGGGUUGAGAUCUCACAAACAUGUUUACCCCCGCCGCAUUUUUGCGCCUGUUCCAAGUUAGGAGCCUCUGGCCUUUGUUAUUCUUGUAUUAUUUUAACUUUUAGUUUCUUGUGUACAAUUUGGAGUUAAGAAUGGUGUUCAUUAUCACUGAACUGGUAUAUAUUUGUUUAGUGGCCAGCUGAAGGACGCCUCCGGAUGCGAGAAUUUCUCGUUGCAUUGAAGACCUGUUGGUGACCUUCUGCUGUUGUCUGCUCUAUGGUCGGGUUGUUGUCUCUUUGACACAUUUCCCAUUUCCAUUCUCAAUUUUAUGUAACAGUUUUAGAUCAGGAACUAUCAUUCUUUUACUUUUACAUGUUGAGCAUCAUUUACUGUACCAGAAAAUCAUCAGGAAACUAUAGUUACUGCCCAAACUUAGCUCUGUGUGACAAUUAUGUGUGUAGUGUCAGUCCUGACGUUCGGCUACAAGUUUGAGGUGGUUUCCGAUCUUUUCGCUGCCUACUGGUAUUUAAAUGUCGAUAACAGUUAACUUGGUACCACUAUACAUAUUCUGUAUUAUUAUCGCUACAUAGAGAAACAUGACAGCUUCAAGUAAAGCCACAUAGCUAAACAUUUUAACUGCAUAUACUUUGAUCUACAGCAUUUACUGCUGAGGAAUAUAAUUGUUUGGUGAUAUUAAUAUUUAAACUAUAUCUUUUAAAAGUCAGGUUUCAAUAUGCCCUACUUUCUUGUUGGCAACAUAUUUGUUGAAUUGGUUGGAAAACUUUUUUAACAAAUUGUCGCCGUUCCUAUUGGAACAAACUGUGCACCCCUCCUGACCGACCUUUUAUUUCUCUUAUAAAUCGGAAUUCCUUUAGAAACUUGUUAAAAACAAGUCAGAUUAUUUAAUUUCACAAUCAGAUAUAUUGAUGAUGUUCCAUAAAAAAUCCGAAAUAUUUUAAUUGGGUUCCAUUAAUAUAUCUUCAGAACUAGAAAUUCAAAAAACAGUAGACAUGGCUUCAUCCGCCUCAAUUUAUGCCUUAUACCUGGAAUUGGACAUGCACAGUCAUCUCAAUACUUGAAUCGAUGACAAACGAGACGAUUUUGAUUUUAAAAUUAUCAAUUCCCCCCAACUUAAUAGCAAUAUACCAACUUCACCUGCAUAUCGGAUAUACAAUUCCCAACUUAUUGGUUAUUGAAGAGCUUGCAGUUCCAACUCAAUUUUGUAAAAAGUCACCGGCGUUUGAGUAGAAGUUGUUGAACCAAGGAUAUGUCAACAAACGUCUUGUCCUUUUUGAUAAAUAUUCCUUAUCAACUUCACAAAUAAUACACGAUAAUCUUGAAGUAGAGAUUCCUGGUACUGACAUUGUUUAUCAUCUUAUAAACGUGUUAUAGUAUUCUUGUACUUGUCUUAAUGAACAUAAUUUUUACUAUUUAGUCUGUUUAUAUUAGGAGAUAUCCAUUUGACGUGACUCUGUACUUAUAUAUCCUGUCAUUGAGUUAUUGUUCUAUGAUAGUUAAUGUAUUGUUGUCUUUCAUAUUGCUUAUGAGCUUAUUUGUAACAGUUACAAUAUAUUUGUUUGGUUUUGUAGUGAUUAGGAUUUUAGCACAAUAUCGACUGAUGUACCUCUACUUGUGAUUUUUUUUUUCAUUGACAUUAUAGUCCAAGAUGUUGAAUGUAUAUAUCGCAAUUAAUACAUGAACUUGUGUUUAUU